rnacentral:rRNA from 1 species
AUUGAACGCUGGCGGCAGGCUUAACACAUGCAAGUCGAGCGGAUGAAGGGAGCUUGCUCCUGGAUUCAGAGGCGGACGGGUGAGAAAUGCCUAGGAAUCUGCCUGGUCGUGGGGGAUAACGUCCGGAAACGGGCGCUAAUACCGCAUACGUACUGAGGGAGAAUGAGGGGGAUCUUCGGACCUCACGCUAUCAGAUGAGCAUAGGUCGGAUUAGCUAGUUGGUGGGGUAAAGGCCUACCAAGGCGACGAUCCGUAACUGGUCUGAGAGGAUGAUCAGUCACACUGGAACGGAGACACGCUCCAAACGCCCACGGGAGGCAGCAGUGGGGAAAAGGGGACAAGGGGCGAAAGCCUGAUCCAGCCAGGCCGAGUGUGUGAAGAAGGUCUUCGGAGUGUAAAGCACAGUAUGUUGGGAGGAAGGGCAGUAAGUUAAGACCUUGCUGAUAUGACGUUACCAACAGAAGAAGCACCGGCUAACUUCGUG